AUCCCUGGCUCAGGACGAACGCUGGCGGCGUGCCUAAUACAUGCAAGUCGAGCGAAUCUUUGGGAGCUUGCUCCCGAAGGUUAGCGGCGGACGGGUGAGUAACACGUGGGCAACCUGCCUAUAAGACUGGGAUAACUUCGGGAAACCGGAGCUAAUACCGGAUAAUCCUUUUCCUCUCAUGAGGGAAAGCUGAAAGACGGUCUCGGCUGUCACUUAUAGAUGGGCCCGCGGCGCAUUAGCUAGUUGGUGAGGUAACGGCUCACCAAGGCGACGAUGCGUAGCCGACCUGAGAGGGUGAUCGGCCACACUGGGACUGAGACACGGCCCAGACUCCUACGGGAGGCAGCAGUAGGGAAUCUUCCGCAAUGGACGAAAGUCUGACGGAGCAACGCCGCGUGAACGAUGAAGGCUUUCGGGUCGUAAAGUUCUGUUGUUAGGGAAGAACAAGUAUCGGAGUAACUGCCGGUACCUUGACCGGUACCUAACCAGAAAGCCACGGCUAA
rnacentral:rRNA from 1 species